rnacentral:RNase_P_RNA from 1 species
AAAGUUUGACAGACAAUCGCUGGCAGCUUGGCUGCGAGAGGAAAGUCCGGGCUCCACAGGGCAGGAUGCUGGAUAACGUCCAGUCAGCGCGAGUUGAAGGAUAGUGCCACAGAAAUGGACCGCCGAUGGCUGCCGUAAGGCAGCACAGGCAAGGGUGGAACCGUGGUGUAAGAGACCACGAGGAGCGCAGGUGACUACGUUCCUGGUAAACCCCAUCUGGAGCAAGACCGAGAGGACGCGGCAGCUUUCGAAGCUGCAGCCUUAGCCCGAGGCGCGUCCGGGUUGGUUGCUGGAGCCAUGCAGCAAUGUAUGGCCUAGAUAGAUGAUUGUCGCUUCACAGUGGGAGGGUCGUUCCCGUUUACACCACUAGAAGUACAGAACCCGGCUUACGGCAAACUUUCCGC